UAGGGAAUCUUCGGCAAUGGGCGAAAGCCUGACCGAGCAACGCCGCGUGAAUGAUGAAGGCCUUCGGGUUGUAAAAUUCUGUUAUAAGGGAAGAACGACUUUAGUAGGAAAUGGCUAGAGUGUGACGGUACCUUAUGAGAAAGCCACGGCUAACUACGUGCCAGCAGCCGCGGUAAUACGUAGGUGGCGAGCGUUAUCCGGAAUUAUUGGGCGUAAAGAGCGCGCAGGUGGUUGAUUAAGUCUGAUGUGAAAGCCCACGGCUUAACCGUGGAGGGUCAUUGGAAACUGGUCAACUUGAGUGCAGAAGAGGGAAGUGGAAUUCCAUGUGUAGCGGUGAAAUGCGUAGAGAUAUGGAGGAACACCAGUGGCGAAGGCGGCUUCCUGGUCUGUAACUGACACUGAGGCGCGAAAGCGUGGGGAGCAAACAGG
rnacentral:rRNA from 1 species